CAUUUGUGUAUGCAAAAGUUGUUGCGGUUAAAAACGCUCGUAGUUGAACCUCGGGCUUCCAGCGCACGGUCGGCCUCACUGAGGUGUGUACUGUCGCUGAGCAGUCCUACCUUCGGGUGCGCGGUCUCUGUCAUUAAUUUGGCGGGGGCAGUGCUCCGGACUUUUACUGUGAAUAAAUUAGAGUGUUCAAAGCAGGCGACUGCCGUGAAUACAUUAGCAUGGAAUAAUGGAAGAGGACAUGGGUCCUGUUUUGUUGGUUUUUGAGGGCUCGUGUAAUGAUUAAUAGGGACAGUUGGGGGCAUUCGUAUUCCGAUGCUAGAGGUGAAAUUCUUGGAUUUUCGGAAGACGAACCUAUGCGAAAGCAUCUGCCAAGGAUGUUUUCAUUAAUCAAGAACGAAAGUUAGGGGAUCGAAGACGAUUAGAUACCAU
rnacentral:rRNA from 1 species